rnacentral:misc_RNA from 1 species
AGAUCGGUUGCCUUAUUGACCCUUAUUGGUACUAAAAUGGUUGCGCACGUUGAGGCCAGUAAACAGAUUGGGAUCGGCUUGGUGAUGUAGGCUACAUCCCCGUSAUGGUGGGUUCGAUGGUGGGUUUGUUACUUUCGCAUCGUUCGGUGCAUUUUGGGGGCUGUUUUGGCUUUUGGUUGCUUGCUUGGCCUUUUGGUUGGGUGGGUGGCUACUAGUUGGGCGGCUUUCGGGAAUGAUGACCGGGGAGGUGCAUGAGUGGUGAUUGGUUUGUUACGUGUGGAUGGCUGUUUGCUCGCGCACCAACGUUCACGCUGCAUACCUCUUCAUUUUUGCGUCAAGACUGGCUUUGUCUUGAGCAUGUUGCGGGUUUCCUGUGUUGCAUACCUAAUUGACGGUAACGUGUGGGUUUUACGGUUUUCUUUUUCGUCAUGCGUCCUUCAUGCGGCGUGGGAUGAACAAUGAAACGGUCUUUGUGAUCCACAGUGUUGUGCUUGCAACAACGAUGUGGCCUAUGAAGCAUC